UGUACUCUUGCAACAUCAUCCCAUAUUGUCGAGUAUCUGCACACAUGACACAUCAUGUACUUGAUCAAGGUGAUUCUCCUGCUUGUGAUGUGCGCUUUCUGUGAGGCUCUCUUCAACCGUUAUGUCGAAUGUGGUUUGGGAUACUACAACUCAGGUGGUUCAGGGAAGAGAGGUUCACGCUGCAUGGAGUGCACAUCUUGGUCUAAAAACCCGAAAAAAACCUUCUUUUUAUGUAAGGAAGAAGACCUCAAUUGCCGAAAACUCUUCAGUGAUGGCAAAUUGGUUUACACUUAUUGUACCACGCAAAAGGUAUGAGCUGUAAACAUGUCUGACCAAUAAAUAAACAAAAGAAAUUCAUAUUUACUAUAA